GAAGGGAAGCUGGCGGCGUGCUAUACAUGCAAGUCGAACGAACUCUGGUAUUGAUUGGUGCUUGCAUCAUGAUUUACAUUUGAGUGAGUGGCGAACUGGUGAGUAACACGUGGGAAACCUGCCCAGAAGCGGGGGAUAACACCUGGAAACAGAUGCUAAUACCGCAUAACAACUUGGACCGCAUGGUCCGAGCUUGAAAGAUGGCUUCGGCUAUCACUUUUGGAUGGUCCCGCGGCGUAUUAGCUAGAUGGUGGGGUAACGGCUCACCAUGGCAAUGAUACGUAGCCGACCUGAGAGGGUAAUCGGCCACAUUGGGACUGAGACACGGCCCAAACUCCUACGGGAGGCAGCAGUAGGGAAUCUUCCACAAUGGACGAAAGUCUGAUGGAGCAACGCCGCGUGAGUGAAGAAGGGUUUCGGCUCGUAAAACUCUGUUGUUAAAGAAGAACAUAUCUGAGAGUAACUGUUCAGGUAUUGACGGUAUUUAACCAGAAAGCCACGGCUAACUACGUGCCAGCAGCCGCGGUAAUACGUAGGUGGCAAGCGUUGUCCGGAUUUAUUGGGCGUAAAGCGAGCGCAGGCGGUUUUUUAAGUCUGAUGUGAAAGCCUUCGGCUCAACCGAAGAAGUGCAUCGGAAACUGGGAAACUUGAGUGCAGAAGAGGACAGUGGAACUCCAUGUGUAGCGGUGAAAUGCGUAGAUAUAUGGAAGAACACCAGUGGCGAAGGCGGCUGUCUGGUCUGUAACUGACGCUGAGGCUCGAAAGUAUGGGUAGCAAACAGGAUUAGAUACCCUGGUAGUCCAUACCGUAAACGAUGAAUGCUAAGUGUUGGAGGGUUUCCGCCCUUCAGUGCUGCAGCUAACGCAUUAAGCAUUCCGCCUGGGGAGUACGGCCGCAAGGCUGAAACUCAAAGGAAUUGACGGGGGCCCGCACAAGCGGUGGAGCAUGUGGUUUAAUUCGAAGCUACGCGAAGAACCUUACCAGGUCUUGACAUACUAUG
rnacentral:rRNA from 2 species